GCAGGGGUAGCCAAGCGGUUAAAGGCGGCAGGCUCAAGACCUGCUGGCUUAGUGCCUUCGUGGGUUCGAAUCCCACCCCCUGCA
rnacentral:tRNA from 1 species